AAAUAACUUUAUUUGAAUAGGACCCGAGACAGCAUAUUGGGCUAAGGAGGAGAGGUAAGGUUCCAAAACCGCAGUCAAAGCUCAUCAACCAAAUGGACUCUACUUCCCAGCAACCUUGCAGUUAGUGCAACCAACAAAAGGCCUGCUGGGGAAUGUAUUUGCCACUAAAUCCCCCAAGUAUGCCAACAUUACAAAAAAGAUAGAGGUUUUUCAUCAUAAUUGAAUUUCCACAAACCUCCCCAAUCACAAGUAUUAUAAGUGGAAGUAAAAAAUCACAUUUUACAGAUCUCAAACUUGUCUUCAACAUUUAGUUCAUCAUCUUCAAAAAAUAGCUCCCCUGCCUAAUUCAUUAGCUAUAUGAUCUCUCCAAGCAGCAACAAGAUGGCCAGAAUCACUGCUGGAAGAGGAGGAGGAAGAGGAGGAAUGCUUGUCAUGCUUGUGGUACUUGUGGUGCUUUUGGUGCUUGUG
rnacentral:lncRNA from 10 species